GAUGAACGCUGGCGGCGUGCCUAAUACAUGCAAGUCGAGCGAACAGACGAGGAGCUUGCUCCUCUGACGUUAGCGGCGGACGGGUGAGUAACACGUGGAUAACCUACCUAUAAGACUGGGAUAACUUCGGGAAACCGGAGCUAAUACCGGAUAAUAUAUUGAACCGCAUGGUUCAAUAGUGAAAGGCGGUUUUGCUGUCACUUAUAGAUGGAUCCGCGCCGCAUUAGCUAGUUGGUAAGGUAACGGCUUACCAAGGCAACGAUGCGUAGCCGACCUGAGAGGGUGAUCGACCACACUGGAACUGAGACACGGUCCAGACUCCUACGGGAGGCAGCAGUAGGGAAUCUUCCGCAAUGGGCGAAAGCUUGACGGAGCAACGCCGCGUGAGUGAUGAAGGUCUUCGGAUCGUAAAACUCUGUUAUUAGGGAAGAACAAAUGUGUAAGUAGCUAUGCACGUCUUGACGGUACCUAAUCAGAAAGCCACGGCUAACUACGUG
rnacentral:rRNA from 1 species